AUGUUUUUCUUUGAAGCAAUUAAAUUUGUAGCCUGUAGCCUUGAACAUGUUUGUGUGUUGUGUCAUGUUUGUAUUUUCAUCCCUAGUAGCAAUGACUCAGGACUAAAUCACCCUUUUGCAGGAAUUACCUAUAAAGGAAACUGGAAACUCCAUGGAAUCUCUCUGUCAUCUUCACCUCCAGAUGGUGCCUCCAAAUCUCUUCUGAAAGGGCUUGUGCAGAGCAGAGUUGUUACAUUAAAUCACCACAGAGUGCAUAUCAUUCAGCCUUGUGAUGGCAAUGCUCAGGCAACAGAGGGACAAACAGAACACAAAACCAUGACGGACUUGCAAGCAAGGCUGAAGAUGCCCAGAGAUGGCAACAAGAAAUUUCACAGCGCCAAACAAUGA
rnacentral:lncRNA from 1 species